ensembl:lncRNA
GUUGUCUCAGUCGGAACGCCGUCAUGUCAUCGAAAUUUUCCCGUCUCCACACUCGUCUGCUGUUAAUCACUGGUCUGCCUGAGUACGCGGACGGCCGCUACACCGAGGAGGACGUGGCCCAACUGCUCUGCCCGUUCGGGUUCAAACUCUCCAGCCGAGGCCUCUACGUCCUUCCUCAGGCGUGUCUGGUAGGAGCCAGCCUCUCUUGAAGCUUUAAGGAGUUUGAAGCCGUCUGACCCUUUGUGGCCAUCCGUGGUCGUUUCCUUCCUCGCAGGCUUUCGCGGUCAUGCCGUGUACCGACAGCGUCAGGAGCAUCAUCACGUUUUCUAACAAGGAGGACUUGAUGCUCAAAGGUUCCCGCCUUGGUUUGCACGCGGUGAUCAGCAGAAUUUCAACCACACCUUUUGGGUUUUAUAAAUCCCUCAUGAAAAAGGUUCAUGUGGUGAGUACAUCAUCUUAGUCCUAAUUUUCUCUGAACGAAGCAGGAUUCUUCCAGCGUUUCACUCGUCUGCACAUUAUUGGUGUUUAUCUCUUCAAAAUAAUAAUAAAUCAGCCUAACAGAAUAAAUCUCUUUCUAUAAAUCCCAGUUUUCCAUUUGAUCUACAGGUGGAUAAAUUCUCUCCCUUUGUUUCCUGGGCAGAGAGUGAAAGACGACGGUUCGAGGACCGUUUUCGUCCAGAACAUCUCACCCGGCGAGGCCAGAGAGCUCAGGGAAACGCUGACGGCCAUCGGUUCCCUGAAGAACUUCCUGCCUCUGCUCAACAAGGUACCGCAGCGGCCGCCGAACACGUCCUUCAUCUCUGGUGCCGCCUCAUGCCUCGUCCGUCUCCCCUCGAAGGUGUUGGUGGAGUUUGAAUCCAUGAGUGGCGCCGAUCGUCUGGGCGUCUGGUUCAGCCUCCUGAAUCCGUCUCCAGUUUACAGCAUCUACAGGAUGAAGAUCCCACAGAGCAGCAGGACGCCGGCCCCACCAGAACGGGCGGUGAACGCUUUGGCGGGACCAGUGGUCCCAGACGCAAGCGGAGACGUCCCACAUGGCAGUACGCCACCCUUUUGGGUCACCAUGACGACUAACCCCUUUAUUUUCCCAACCAACUGGCCUUGGUUCAUUAUUCCAGAUUACCUGACGGUGGAAGGGAUGAGGGACGUUGAGAACGCUCCGUCUCCCCGUUUCCCCUCCUCCACCGUCCUGAUGACGGGUUUGCCUCGAGGGAACUUCACGCACCAGGACGUCGCCAAGCUGGUUUGGCCCCAUCUCCCCCAACGGACCCUUCGCUCUUUACUCUACGACGUGACGGUCCUCCCCCUGCAGAGACGGGCUUUCGUGCAUUUCAACGACUGGGACUCGUGCUGCCGGUUUCUUCGGAGCCACACCUCGGAGCGGGUUUCCGUCAGAGGCUGCGUCCUCAGCGUUCACUUGGUCUUGGAGGACAUGCAGCCUGCAUAUAGUGAGGAGGUCAUGUACCAAACUCUAAUGAAGUGGAGCAGCUCCCCCGUUCCAGAGCUGGAGUCUCUGGAGGAGCGGCUGCUCUGCGUGGAGAUCUCGGAGGCGUCGGUGGGCAUCGUCAUGAUGGUCAUGGAGGCCGUGGCAGCAGUGGCGCCCUUUGAAGGUUUCCUGCCUCUGGCCAACAGGAUCUGCAUCGAAUUAUCUGAACCCACAGAUGUAACCAGAGUGGUGCAGAAAAUCUCAGCAAACAUUUCAUCCAGGACUCAUAUUUGGAACAAAGUAAAGAGCGUCUCCUGCUUGAACAUCUUUAAAGAGCGUUUGCAGAGUUUAUGGAGCGAGCCCAUUGAUAUGGAGCUGAACGCCAGCAGAACUGCAGAUCCAAAUGACUCUGCACCAGAAAAAGACAGCAGAGCUGUGCAGAUGGAGGAGCGAGCGGCAGGAAGCUCGGCUGAAGCUGAGGAUGAAGUCGGAAGAGUGGAGAUGAAGAAGACCGAAGAAGGUGAGGGGUUCUGAUGAAUGUGAAUCCUUAACUAAUUGAAUGGGAACGUGCUGUGGAUAAAAAAAA